rnacentral:lncRNA from 1 species
AAACAUUUAAGAAAAACAUAAAUCAAACCCUUCUAGAGACUUCCGACAUCCCGGAUCCCACCAGAAAGCAGAAUUCCGAUGCCGGACUCCAGCCGGGUAUUACAUUCUCCCCCCCUUAAGAACAUUCGUCCUCGAAUGAUCCGAAAACAAAUAACAACACAUAAAAAGGAGGAAACUAACCUCAAAACAAAUAUGGAUACUGCUGAAGCAUCGACUCUCGCGUCUCCCACGUACACUCUUCUAGAUUAUGGUGGUUCCACAGAACUUUCACCAUCGAAAUUUCCUUGUUCCUUAGCUGUCUGAUCUGCGUGUCCAGAAUCCGCACUGGCUGCUCUAUAUAGGUG